CGUGAGAUGUUGGGUUAAGUCCCGCAACGAGCGCAACCCCUAUCCUUAGUUGCCAGCGAGUCAAGUCGGGCACUCUAGGGAGACUGCCCCGGAAAUCGGGGAGGAAGGUGGGGAUGACGUCAAGUCCUCAUGGCCUUUAUGUCCAGGGCUACACACGUGCUACAAUGGGCGGUACAAAGGGUUGCAAGAGCGCGAGCUGGAGCUAAUCCCAAAAAACCGUCCCCAGUACGGAUUGCAGUCUGCAACUCGACUGCAUGAAGCUGGAAUCGCUAGUAAUCCCGGAUCAGAAUGCCGGGGUGAAUACGUUCCCGGGCCUUGUACACACCGCCCGUCACAUCACGAAAGCCGGCUGUACCGGAAGUCGGUGCGCUAACCGUAAGGGGGCAGCUGCCCAUGGUAUGGUCGGUGAUUGGGGUGAAGUCGUAACAAGGUA
rnacentral:rRNA from 1 species